UCUGAGACAAAAGAUGCACUACGGACUCAGCCACACCUAAAGGAAAGCUUUGAAAGAAUUGCCAGGUUCACUUUUAAUAAUGAGAUAAAAAAUUGCCCACAUGGAGUCAGCAGAAAAUGAACCAGUGGCAGGCCUGCUGCAAAUAAUUCCAGCAAGGGCCAAGAGACUAGUUGAAAAAUGACUUCAUGAGG